rnacentral:lncRNA from 1 species
CACAAUUUGUUCAUCAUGUUGACUUACUUUAAAAAAUCUUCUCCUUUGAAACUGCUGUAUCAAUUUCAUCCAAACUUAGGCUAAAUGAGUUUCAGAGUAUCUAGUAUGAAUUUUAUAUUUUAUUUCCUUGUAUGUCAAGAAACAGCUCCUAUGGCUAAAAUAGAACAUAUAGGAGAAAAUGAUUAUUUUUUUUGGCUUUUGAAGAAAAUAG